rnacentral:rRNA from 1 species
CUCCUACGGGAGGCAGCAGUGGGGAACUUUUGACAAUGGGCGCAAGCCUGAUCCAGCAAUGCCGCGUGCAGGAUGAAGGCCUUCGGGUUGUAAACUGCUUUUGUACAGAACGAAAAGUCUUGGGUUAAUACCCUGGGACCAUGACGGUACUGUAAGAAUAAGCACCGGCUAACUACGUGCCAGCAGCCGCGGUAAUACGUAGGGUGCAAGCGUUAAUCGGAAUUACUGGGCGUAAAGCGUGCGCAGGCGGUUAUGUAAGACAGAGGUGAAAUCCCCGGGCUCAACCUGGGAACGGCCUUUGUGACUGCAUAGCUAGGGUACGGUAGAGGGGGAUGGAAUUCCGCGUGUAGCAGUGAAAUGCGUAGAUAUGCGGAGGAACACCGAUGGCGAAGGCAAUCCCCUGGACCUGUACUGACGCUCAUGCACGAAAGCGUGGGGAGCAAA